rnacentral:rRNA from 1 species
UACGGGGGGGGGCAAGCGUUGUUCGGAAUUACUGGGCGUAAAGGGCUCGUAGGUGGCCAACUAAGUCAGACGUGAAAUCCCCAGGCUUAACCUGGGAACUGCGUCGGAUACUGGAUGGCUUGAAUUCGGGAGAGGGAUGCAGAAUUCCAGGUGUAGCGGUGAAAUGCGUAGAUAUCUGGAGGAAUACCGGUGGCGAAGGCGGCAUCCUGGACCGACAUUGACGCUGAAGCGCGAAAGCUAGGGGAGCAAACGGG